AAAAUAUUUUUGAUAUUUCAGAGGGCUCAAAAACUACAGUCGAAAAGCUGUCCCAGUUCUUGGAAAAGCAUGGCAUUCUUGUGAUGUCAACAGGUUCAUCCAGCAUGAGAGUUGUUCUCCAUCACCAAAUCUCAGAAAGUGAUGUUCAGUACACCCUGUCCUGCUUUCAGCAAGCUUUUCAACAAUUUGAGGAUACUGAAAAAUGAAAAUGUCGAACUCCUCAACUGGCAGAUGGGUCCGUCUCUUCCUCAGAUUAACUAUUUCUCAUUUGUGAGCCAAGAAGAUAUUUGUUGGCUUAAUCAUGUAAUUGAAACUUGCAUAAUUAUGUAACUUUGCUUCUAGCUUUCCUUUGUAAACUCAUUCUGUCUAAAUACAUUUAUUUUACUUUUCCAUUCUCA